rnacentral:lncRNA from 1 species
GAUCUGAGGCAUAAUGAAGGAAGUCAGCUAGGAAUGGGGAAGAAGGAAGCUAAUCUAAUGCGAGGAAUCCCUGGAGGAGGUGGCACCUGAGAUGACUUUCAGGUGAGCAGGUAUCAGCCAGAGGAAACCAGGAGGAAGGGAGAAGAGACGUGCGCAGACACAGGCUGGGGCAGAGGAGUGGGCUUAGCGGCCUCCUGAGACAUGAGCUGGAACCUGGAAAAUGAGGAGCCAUGAAAGAGCUUUAAUGAGAGAAAGACAAUGACAUCUACGCUUUAGAAGGAUCGGUCUGGAGACAGCAGAAGGGCUUAUCGGAAGGUAGUGACUCUGUAGUCAAAGAGAUAGCAAAGUACAGAUUUGAGAGAUGCCACAACAGACGCAUUAAGCCCUGGAGCUGGAAUGAUAUGCACACUGAGAGAGUGAGGGAGUGAGGUCCUUGCUGAAGACCUUUAAAAUGAGUUUAUUUCACCCAGAAGCUCCAGCAAGGGACACACUCACUGCCUUGUGCUGGCCACGAGGUGGCAGCCUCGCACAGCCAUUUUAGCAGAAAAUGCGUCCCAUCCUCACCGGCGCUCACCACCACGUGGGCAGAGCCACUAAAAAAAUUCCACCACGGGGACAGGAGCUCUCUGAGCUUGCCCCAUAAACACGCUUUUCUCCCACAG